GAUAGUCUCAGUUCGGAUUGUGGGCUGCAACUCGCCCACAUGAAGUCGGAGUUGCUAGUAAUCCCGAAUCAGAAUGUCGGGGUGAAUGCGUUCCCGGGUCUUGUACACACCGCCCGUCACGCCAUGGGAGUUGGGAGUACCCAAAGUCGGUGAGCUAACCGCAAGGAGGCAGCCGCCUAAGGUAAGUCCGAUGACUGGGGUGAAGUCGAAACAAGGUAGCCGUAUCGGAAGGUGCGGCUGGAUCACCUCCUUA
rnacentral:rRNA from 1 species